GUCCGAGCCACAGGAAGCAACGUAUAUUCCAUUUGGAGAUACCGCACAGUUCCAAGACUCGCCCGCAUGGCCCUGUAAACGAAUUAUUAACGGAACUUGGAAGACUUGAAGGCGGUUUAACAGCAAUAAUUAUGCAUACAUGUGAAGAAGUAAUGAGUUCUCGGGACAAAGACAAGCCCAGUUACCGAAUCGUCGUGUGCAAAGAUGGAUUUGUGGCAAUCACCAUAGUCCAAACCCCAAAUUUUCACGUUUCGGUCAGCCGAGCCAGUUGCAAUUAAGGGUUCUCGAAUGCAAAACGGACAAGACCUUGGCUUUUGUUUGGCUCUGAGGAUCCUCAACAAGUUCGAAAUUCCAGAAUUUCACAGUGCCAUCACCACUGCCACUGGCAACGCCUCUCUGUUCAUGGAUUAAAACUGUAUUG